rnacentral:rRNA from 1 species
UACACUCCUACGGGAGGCAGCAGUAGGGAAUCUUCCACAAUGGGUGCAAACCUGAUGGAGCAAUGCCGCGUGAGUGAAGAAGGUCUUCGGAUCGUAAAGCUCUGUUGUUAGAGAAGAACACGUGCUAGGUAACUACUAGCGCCUUGACGGUAUCUAACCAGAAAGUCACGGCUAACUACGUGCCAGCAGCCGCGGUAAUACGUAGGUGACAAGCGUUGUCCGGAUUUAUUGGGCGUAAAGGGAGCGCAGGCGGUCUGUUUAGUCUAAUGUGAAAGCCCACGGCUUAACCGUGGAUCGGCAUUGGAAACUGACAGACUUGAAUGUAGAAGAGGAAAAUGGAAUUCCAAGUGUAGCGGUGGAAUGCGUAGAUAUUUGGAGGAACACCAGUGGCGAAGGCGAUUUUCUGGUCUAACAUUGACGCUGAGGCUCGAAAGCGUGGGGAGCGAACAGGAUUAGAAACCCUUGUAGUCCC